UACGUAGGGGGCAAGCGUUGUCCGGAUUUAUUGGGUUUAAAGGGUGCGUAGGCGGCAUUUUAAGUCAGUGGUGAAAUACUUCAGCUUAACUGGAGAGGUGCCAUUGAUACUGGGAUGCUUGAGUACUGAUGAGGUAGGCGGAAUGGACGGUGUAGCGGUGAAAUGCUUAGAUAUCGUCCAGAACACCGAUAGCGAAGGCAGCUUACUAAGGAGUAACUGACGCUGAGGCACGAAAGUGUGGGGAUCAAACGGG
rnacentral:rRNA from 1 species